rnacentral:rRNA from 1 species
UACAGAGGUGGCAAGCGUUGUUCGGAAUUACUGGGCGUAAAGGGCGCGUAGGCGGUCUCGUAAGUCCCGUGUGAAAUCCCUCGGCUCAACUGAGGAACUGCACGGGAAACUGCUUGGCUUGAGUUCGGGAGAGGGAAGCGGAAUUCCGGGUGUAGCGGUGAAAUGCGUAGAUAUCCGGAGGAACACCGGUGGCGAAGGCGGCUUCCUGGACCGAUACUGACGCUGAGGCGCGAAAGCUAGGGGAGCAAACGGG